CGCCGGGCCCGCCUUCCACGC
rnacentral:miRNA from 1 species